AUUGAACGCUGGCGGCAGGCCUAACACAUGCAAGUCGAGCGGAUGAGGAAAGCUUGCUUUUCGAUUCAGCGGCGGACGGGUGGGUAAUGCCUAGGAAUCUGCCUAUUAGUGGGGGAUAACGUUCCGAAAGGAACGCUAAUACCGCAUACGUCCUACGGGAGAAAGUGGGGGAUCUUCGGACCUCACGCUAAUAGAUGAGCCUAGGUCGGAUUAGCUAGUUGGUGGGGUAACGGCUCACCAAGGCGACGAUCCGUAGCUGGUCUGAGAGGAUGAUCAGCCACACUGGAACUGGGACACGGUCCAGACUCCUACGGGAGGCAGCAGUGGGGAAUAUUGGACAAGGGGCGAAAGCCUGAUCCAGCCAUGCCGCGUGUGUGAAGAAGGUCUUCGGAUUGUAAAGCACUUUAAGUUGGGAGGAAGGGUUGUAAGCUAAUAUCUUGCAGCUUUGACGUUACCAACAGAAUAAGCACCGGCUAACUCUGUGCCAGCCGCCGCAGUAACAC
rnacentral:rRNA from 1 species